GUACUUGUACUGAUUGAGAUUUUAACACGAAGUGAGUGGCGAACGGGUGAGUAACACGUGGGUAACCUGCCCAGAAGUAGGGGAUAACACCUGGAAACAGAUGCUAAUACCGUAUAACAGAGAAAACCGCAUGGUUUUCUUUUAAAAGAUGGCUCUGCUAUCACUUCUGGAUGGACCCGCGGCGUAUUAGCUAGUUGGUGAGGUAAAGGCUCACCAAGGCAGUGAUACGUAGCCGACCUGAGAGGGUAAUCGGCCACAUUGGGACUGAGACACGGCCCAGACUCCUACGGGAGGCAGCAGUAGGGAAUCUUCCACAAUGGACGCAAGUCUGAUGGAGCAACGCCGCGUGAAGUGAAGAAGGGUUUCGGCUCGUAAAGCUCUGUUGUUAAAGAAGAACGUGGGUAAGAGUAACUGUUUACCCAGUGACGGUAUUUAACCAGAAAGCCACGGCUAACUACGUGCCAGCAGCCGCGGUAAUACGUAGGUGGCAAGCGUUAUCCGGAUUUAUUGGGCGUAAAGCGAGCGCAGGCGGUCUUUUAAGUCUAAUGUGAAAGCCUUCGGCUCAACCGAAGAAGUGCAUUGGAAACUGGGAGACUUGAGUGCAGAAGAGGACAGUGGAACUCCAUGUGUAGCGGUGAAAUGCGUAGAUAUAUGGAAGAACACCAGUGGCGAAGGCGGCUGUCUGGUCUGCAACUGACGCUGAGGCUCGAAAGCAUGGGUAGCGAACAGGAUUAGAUACCCUGGUAGUCCAUGCCGUAAACGAUGAUUACUAAGUGUUGGAGGGUUUCCGCCCUUCAGUGCUGCAGCUAACGCAUUAAGUAAUCCGCCUGGGGAGUACGACCGCAAGGUUGAAACUCAAAAGAAUUGACGGGGGCCCGCACAAGCGGUGGAGCAUGUGGUUUAAUUCGAAGCUACGCGGAAGAACCUUACCAGGUCUUGACAUCUUCUGACAGUCUAAGAGAUUAGAGGUUCCCUUCGGGGACAGAAUGACAGGUGGUGCAUGGUUGUCGUCAGCUCGUGUCGUGAGAUGUUGGGUUAAGUCCCGCAACGAGCGCAACCCUUAUUACUAGUUGCCAGCAUUAAGUUGGGCACUCUAGUGAGACUGCCGGUGACAAACCGGAGGAAGGUGGGGACGACGUCAAAUCAUCAUGCCCCUUAUGACCUGGGCUACACACGUGCUACAAUGGAUGGUACAACGAGUCGCGAGACCGCGAGGUUAAGCUAAUCUCUUAAAACCAUUCUCAGUUCGGACUGUAGGCUGCAACUCGCCUACACGAAGUCGGAAUCGCUAGUAAUCGCGGAUCAGCAUGCCGCGGUGAAUACGUUCCCGGGCCUUGUACACACCGCCCGUCACACCAUGAGAGUUUGUAACACCCAAAGCCGGUGGGGUAA
rnacentral:rRNA from 1 species